AGUAACACGUGGGUGGAUCUACCUCUGAGUGGGGGAUAACGUUCCGAAAGGAACGCUAAUACCGCAUGACGUCCUGGGUUUAAAGACCUGGAGACCAAAGCUAGGGACCGCAAGGCCUGGCACUUGAAGAGGAGCCCGCGUCCGAUUAGCUAGUUGGCGGGGUAACGGCCCACCAAGGCGACGAUCGGUAGCCGGCCUGAGAGGGCGGACGGCCACACUGGGACUGAGACACGGCCCAG
rnacentral:rRNA from 1 species